GGCUAUUCGAAGUUAUUAAUAGUCUGGCCUGCUCACUGAUAAUUUGUAUUAAAGAGCCGCGGUAACUUGACCGUGCAAAGGUAGCAUAAUCAUUAGUUCUUUGAUUGAGAACUGGUAUGAAUGGUCGGACAAGAGAGGGACUGUCUCUAAUGUUAAAUCGAAAUUGACUUUUAAGUGAAAAGGCUUAAAUAUAUUAGGGGGACGAUAAGACCCUAUAAAGCUUUAUAUGUUAGGUUAAGUUAACUUAAUUGGAAUAUAAAAGUUUACUUAGUAAAACAUAUUUGGUUGGGGCGACUAAGGUAUAAGUACUAGUAACUGAUUAAAACUCAAUCAACGAUAGUUGAUUAAAUUAUAAUUGAUCCUUUUUAAAGAUUAAAGAUUAAGUUACUUUAGGGAUAACAGCGUAAUUUUCUCUGAGAGUCCAUAUCGAAGAAAAAGUUUGCGACCUCGAUGUUGAAUUAAAAUGUCUCUAUAAUGCAGCAGUUAUAGAAGAAAGUCUGUUCGACUUUUAAAAUUUUACAUGAUUUGAGUUCAGACCGGCGUGAGCCAGGUCGGUUUCUAUCUCCUAAGUUUGUAAAGAUUACUUUAGUACGAAAGGAUUGGGUAAUCAAAAAUUUUUUGGUAAGUGAAAU
rnacentral:rRNA from 2 species